GGGUUACCCGCGCCACGCUCAGCAUGGCACCGGCGGACUCGCUUACCGUCAUUCCCGCCGCUACCUUUAAUGGUUGCGCGUGAUGCGAGAGCCCGGAGAGAACAAAUGCAGCCUGUAGCCUUCCUUAUUGAUGAGAUACACGUAAAUGGCUUUGUCAUGCAAAUGUGGCUCUAAGCCACUUUCAUAUAAAGCCAGCUUAAUGCCCAACAGCCACUGACCCUCCCUCGUCCGUUAGGCAGCGUCUGCCCCGUCCUUGAAGAAACAGGGACGGUGGCGCUGGGGCAGAUGUUGGCUCCGGCCACCAUGCCGAAGUGGUGUGACCUUACAGCGCUGAAAGGAGUCGUGUCCCUGUAGUCCUCCCCACCCCACCCCCCAAAAUAAGGCCUCUCUCUUUCACGAAACGAGAUUUCCUGCCAAUCCGUCCCCGUUGCCCUCAGAAAACAUCCCCAGUACUUCUCGGUCCCGGUCCUCCCUGCUCGCAGCUACUACGCGGCAUAAGCCGGGUUUCUGCUGUGCCGAAAAACACAUUUUGGUUUUCUUUGCAGGCUGGUACUAACUUUAGGUAGCAGCCGGCAGAGUGUGCUGUGAACGCUACGAAAAGGACACCCCACUGCUGGGAAUUUUUAAGAUAUACGUACAUACAGAGAUACAGAUAUAUAUAUUUAAUCGCGGAUGAAGACAUCUUAAGUGGUUCAAAUAUCUGCAUGAGCAGUUGGUAGUUCCUCCUGUCAAUUACAAUACUGGUCUCGUCACAGAUCACAGAACCUCCUCCUUAAAAAUUAAUAGCCGAGUCAUACUAAACUGCCCGCUUCCAGCAAGAUUGCUUUUCAGUGUUUGUGCAAAGUUGGAAACUCGCCACAAUGAACGUGUCCGGACACCUUUCACGGUCACAGAAAAGGGUCUGCAGCACGAGGUGUUUAAUAGAUGAAAAUUCAAAUUGUAAUCCUGGCCUACCGGAAGCAGCUUACGAAACGGAGCAGCAUGAGCAUACAUUUCUGCAGCCUCAUUACGCUCUCCUUUGGACUUACCGACGGUAGAGUUACAGAGAGAUUAAUAAAUGCAUUAGAAUACAUCAGAUGCUCCAGCCUCACCAAGCCACCUCCAUGGCUUCACACUGAGAUCUCUCAAAUCUGCCGGCAAGUGAUGUUCACCUCUACCCCUGCCAUAUACACAGGAACUGUGGCUGCCCUGAGAAGACAAAUGCUCAUCUGAUGUUUUAAUGCUCAUAUGGCUGAACCACUCUGUUCCCUGCAAUGAUGCUGCAGCCUGUGUCCUCUCCCAUGUAAGAUGGAAAGAGGGAACAGCAUGAGACCACAUGGGAAAGAGGUGCUGUUUGCCAUGCAAGAUGUUGAGCAACACAGUGCUGUCAGCACAGGACCUUUUGAUCAGCUGGUGAUGGCCCUCUGGACUCUGGCUGGAUUAGAGGAUGCUUAGAGGCAGGAUUUCACCCAGCACUUUGGUAUUAUCUUUGGCUGAGAGCCCAGGCUUUUUCCACGUCAGUGC
rnacentral:lncRNA from 14 species